rnacentral:misc_RNA from 1 species
GAUGAAGAACGCAGCGAAAUGCGAUACGUAAUGUGAAUUGCAGAAUUCAGUGAAUCAUCGAAUCUUUGAACGCAUAUUGCGCUCUCUGGUAUUCCGGAGAGCAUGCUUGUUUGAGUAUCAGUAAACACCUCAACUUCCAUAUCUUUUUUGAAAUGGGAGUUGGACUUGAGUGAUCCCAACGCUUUUCCUCACCGAAAAGUGGCGGGUUACUUGAAAUGCAGGUGCAGCUGGACUUUUCUCUGAGCUAUAAGCAUAUCUAUUUAGUCUGCCUAAAAAACAGAUUAUUACCUUUGCUGCAGCUAACAUAAAGGAGAUUAGUUCUUGUGCUGACUGAUGCAGGAUUCACAAAGACAGGCUUCGGCCGACUUUGUAAACUCGAUCUCAAAUCAAGUAAGACUACCCGCUGAAAUUAAGCAUAUCAAUAAGCGAGGA